GUGGGGGCGAUAGAUCAUAUAGUGUGAAAAGUCAUUGUAACACCCCAAUAAUUUUAAGGUGGUUCCGGAAGAAGGAACUAGGUUUGCUUGUCUCGAAGAAUAGAGAACGAAGUUGCUAGGGACUGUAGAUAGUUGGAAGGUAUCUUGGCUAUUCUCGGAAGAAUAGCAUGAUUCGGUUAGAAACCUAGUUGUCCCUCUUGACAUUGGCUCAUGGUACAUUUUGGUUGUUAUUGGCCAUAUUUUGAUAUGUUUUGUAACUGGUCAUGUUCAUGUCUUUUGGAGUUGAUAAGGAUAGUUGGUUUGGUUGUAGCAUGUCAAAUGGGUAAUCGACCCAUAUAGUUGCGUGGUCGAUCAUGGAUCAAACUAAUUUGACAAAUAUGAAUGUUUUCGGGUUAACUCUCUUACUUUCAAUUCUGGAACGUAAUUUCCUUAUAA